GAUGAACGCUGGCGGCGUGCUUAACACAUGCAAGUCGAACGGUGAAGGCGGAGCUUGCUCUGCUGGAUCAGUGGCGAACGGGUGAGUAACACGUGAGCAAUCUGCCCCUGACUCUGGGAUAAGCGCUGGAAACGGCGUCUAAUACUGGAUACGAGCUGCGAAGGCAUCUUCAGCAGCUGGAAAGAAUUUCGGUCAGGGAUGAGCUCGCGGCCUAUCAGCUUGUUGGUGAGGUAAUGGCUCACCAAAGCGUCGACGGGUAGCCGGCCUGAGAGGGUGACCGGCCACACUGGGACUGAGACACGGCCCAGACUCCUACGGGAGGCAGCAGUGGGGAAUAUUGCACAAUGGGCGAAAGCCUGAUGCAGCAACGCCGCGUGAGGGACGACGGCCUUCGGGUUGUAAACCUCUUUUAGCAGGGAAGAAGCGAAAGUGACGGUACCUGCAGAAAAAGCGCCGGCUAACUACGUG
rnacentral:rRNA from 1 species